GAGUGGCGAACGGGUGAGUAACACGUGGGUAACCUGCCCAUCAGAAGGGGAUAACACUUGGAAACAGGUGCUAAUACCGUAUAACAAUCGAAACCGCAUGGUUUUGAUUUGAAAGGCGCUUUCGGGUGUCGCUGAUGGAUGGACCCGCGGUGCAUUAGCUAGUUGGUGAGGUAACGGCUCACCAAGGCCACGAUGCAUAGCCGACCUGAGAGGGUGA
rnacentral:rRNA from 1 species